UUGUGCGCAGAGUUAGAUAACUGUAAGGGCUAAAGUAGGAAGCGGUCCAUUUUAUUUCUUUCCGUGCGCCAUCUCUCCGUCUCAUGACCCACUUGGAUGGAAAGUGAGACUUUCUGUGUGCCUGGAUAGAGGGUACAGAACUACGAAGUCUGUAGAGUGCAGGUCCUUAAGAUGAUCCAGUGAUGGCCUCUUAAAAGACAGCACCAUGAUAGCUCCACCCAUCUCCUAGCCAAUAGCCCUUGAUUUAAGGUCAAAUCUUCGCUCAAACCAUCUGAGCAAUUUGGGGUCUGCUAAGAAAGCAAUGGGAACCACACCAUAAGACAACAGGCUACCUCACUGAACUGGUGGAAACACAAGUGGAUAUAUGAGACCAGAACACAAGGUUGCUGUCCUACAAAAUACAACAGAUCUCUCACUGGUGUGGAACUUACAAAGCAGACUUGGCCAACCCCGGGAUUCCACCUAUCCCAGCCUCCUGGUGCUGGAAUCACAGAUUUGUCGGUGCCUUUGGAACUUUUAAAGAAAAUUUCAUUACUUGCACAACUUGGAGAAAAGUCUUCACCCAAUAUAGAGGUUCUAGAAUACCGCAUAAGGUAUUGGGUGUAUGUGGGGGGGG